UACGUAAGGGGCAAGCGUUGUCCGGAAUCACUGGGCGUAAAGCGCACGUAGGCGGUUUGUCAAGUUGGGGGUGUAAGCUCCAGGCUUAACCUGGAAAUUGCCUCCAAAACUAGCAUACUUGAGUAUUAGAGGGGAAGCUGGAAUUCACGGUGUAGCGGUGAAAUGCGUAGAUAUCGUGGAGAACACCCGUGGCGAAGGCGGGCUUCUGGCUAAUUACUGACGCUGAGGUGCGAAAGCUAGGGGAGCGAACGGG
rnacentral:rRNA from 1 species